rnacentral:rRNA from 1 species
AUUGAACGCUGGCGGCAUGCUUUACACAUGCAAGUCGAACGGUAACAGGCCUUCGGGUGCUGACGAGUGGCGAACGGGUGAGUAAUGCAUCGGAACGUACCCAGAGGUGGGGGAUAACGCAGCGAAAGCUGUGCUAAUACCGCAUGUGAUCUGAGGAUGAAAGCGGGGGACCGAGCAGCAAUGUUUGGCCUCGCGCCUUUGGAGCGGCCGAUGUCGGAUUAGCUAGUUGGUGGGGUAAAGGCCUACCAAGGCGACGAUCCGUAGCUGGUCUGAGAGGACGACCGGCCCACCUGGGGCUGGGACCCGGCCCCGCCUCCUCCGGGGGGCAGGGGUGGGGAAUUUUGGGCAAGGGGCGAAAGCCUGACCCAGCAAUGCCGCGUGCGGGAAGAAGGCCUUCGGGUUGUAAACCGUUUUUGGGAGGAACGAAACGGUGUCCGCUAAUACCGGGCGCUAAUGGCGGUACCUGCAGAAUAAGCACCGGCUAACUCCGU